rnacentral:rRNA from 1 species
UCCUACGGGAGGCAGCAGUGGGGAAUAUUGGACAAUGGGGGGAACCCUGAUCCAGCAAUGCCGCGUGUGUGAAGAAGGCCUGAGGGUUGUAAAGCACUUUCAGUGGGGAGGAGGAUUGCGAGAUUAAGAGUCAUGUAAUUGGACGUUACCCACAGAAGAAGCACCGGCUAACUCCGUGCCAGCAGCCGCGGUAAU